rnacentral:rRNA from 1 species
AGGGUUCGAUUCUGGCUCAGGAUGAACGCUAGCGACAGGCUUAACACAUGCAAGUCGAGGGGCAGCACGGGAGUAGCAAUACUUGGUGGCGACCGGCGCACGGGUGAGUAACGCGUAUGCAACCUACCUAUCAGGAGGGGAAUAACCCGGCGAAAGUCGGACUAAUACCGCAUAAAACAGGGGCACCGCAUGGUGAUAUUUGUUAAAGAAAUUCGCUGAUAGAUGGGCAUGCGUUCCAUUAGGUAGUUGGUGAGGUAACGGCUCACCAAGCCGACGAUGGAUAGGGGAACUGAGAGGUUGGUCCCCCACACUGGUACUGAGACACGGACCAGACUCCUACGGGAGGCAGCGGUGAGGAAUAUUGGUCAAUGGGCGGGAGCCCUGAACCAGCCAAGUCGCGUGAAGGAAGAAGGAUCUAUGGUUCGUAAACUUCUUUUGCAGGGGAAGAAGAAAGUGACGGUACCCUGCGAGGAAGCUCCGGCAAACUACGUGCCAGCCGCCGC